rnacentral:rRNA from 1 species
GAUGAACGCUAGCUACAGGCUUAACACAUGCAAGUCGAGGGGAAACGGCAUUAAGUGCUUGCACUUUUUGGACGUCGACCGGCGCACGGGUGAGUAACGCGUAUCCAACCUGCCCCUUACCAGGGAAUAACCCGUUGAAAGACGGACUAAUGCCCUAUGCAGUCCUUUGACGGCAUCAGAUUAGGACUAAAGAUUCAUCGGUAUGGGAUGGGGAUGCGUCUGAUUAGCUUGUUGGCGGGGUAACGGCCCACCAAGGCAUCGAUCAGUAGGGGUUCUGAGAGGAAGGUCCCCCACAUAGGAACUGAGACACGGUCCUAACUCCUACGGGAGGCAGCAGUGAGGAAGAUUGGUCAAUGGGCGGUAGCCUGAACCAGCCAAGUAGCGUGCAGGAUGACGGCCCUAUGGGUUGUAAACUGCUUUUAUGCGGGGAUAAAGUCACCCACGUGUGGGUGUUUGCAGGUACCGAAUGAAUAAGGACCGGCUAAUUCCGUG